GGUUGUAUGGGGGGCAGUCUGAUGCAGCCAUGCCGCGUGAGUGAUAGAAGGCCUUCGGGUUGUAAAGCUCUUUUUUCCGGGACGAUAAUGACGGUGCCCCCAGAAUAAACCCCGGCUAACUUCAUGCCACCGCCCCCGGUAAUAAAAAAUGCCCCCGGCCCUAUUAUAAUAAGACUUGUCGAGAGUCCCUUGGGGCCGUCAGAUACUGGAAUGCGACAAACCCCGCUUGUACCAUUUUCUGAAUGACCGGAUUGAUGUCUUCCACGCUGUCCCGGCGGUUGUGCGGGUAUGCGGGAGAGUCCGUUUCAUUCAGGGAGACAGGAUGCGCCUGUGAGAGGUUUUUGCUGGAAGGCGAUGGCCGCUGCGCUCGUAUUGAUCCACAGCCGGGGUCGUACGGGAGUUGGGGUGGGGAUUAGUUGGGUGGGUUU
rnacentral:rRNA from 1 species